rnacentral:rRNA from 1 species
CUUUAGUGGCGGACGGGUGAGUAACGCGUGGGUAACCUGCCUUACACUGGGGGAUAACACUUAGAAAUAGGUGCUAAUACCGCAUAAGCGCACGAAGCCGCAUGGAUUUGUGUGAAAAACUCCGGUGGUGUAAGAUGGACCCGCGUCUGAUUAGCUUGUUGGCGGGGUAACGGCCCACCAAGGCGACGAUCAGUAGCCGGCCUGAGAGGGUGGACGGCCACAUUGGGACUGAGACACGGCCCAAACUCCUACGGGAGGCAGCAG